rnacentral:rRNA from 1 species
AGUGAACGCUGGCGGUAGGCCUAACACAUGCAAGUCGAACGGCAGCACAGUAAGAGCUUGCUCUUACGGGUGGCGAGUGGCGGACGGGUGAGGAAUACAUCGGAAUCUACUUUUUCGUGGGGGAUAACGUAGGGAAACUUACGCUAAUACCGCAUACGACCUACGGGUGAAAGCAGUGGAUCUUCGGACCUUGCGCGAUUGAAUGAGCCGAUGUCGGAUUAGCUAGUCGGCGGGGUAAAGGCCCACCAAGGCGACGAUCCGUAGCUGGUCUGAGAGGAUGAUCAGCCACACUGGAACUGAGACACGGUCCAGACUCCUACGGGAGGCAGCAGUGGGGAAUAUUGGACAAUGGGCGCAAGCCUGAUCCAGCCAUACCGCGUGGGUGAAGAAGGCCUUCGGGUUGUAAAGCCCUUUUGUUGGGAAAGAAAAGCAGCAGGUUAAUACCCCGCUGUUCUGACGGUACCCAAAGAAUAAGCACCGGCUAACUUAGUG